GCUCCAAUGGCGCAAUGGUAGCGCGCGAGAGUGAGUAACCUUGUCAUGUUGCCGUGAAACACAUAACUAACGAUUUUCAAGCUUCUAUCUACACUUCACUGAGAAGUCAUCUCGAGGCUGUGGGUUCGAGUCCCACUUGGAGUG